AUUUAAUAAACCUUAAACGGUGAAACCGCGAAUGGCUCAUUAAAUCAGCUAUGGUUCCUUGGAUCGUAAAUACUACAUGGAUAACUGUAGUAAUUCUAGAGCUAAUACAUGCCACGAUGCCCAAUUCUGGGUGGAUUUAUUAGUACAGAACCAACCGGAUGCAGUUCUGCUGUAUCUGUUACGCUCUGUGAUGACUCUGGAUAACUUUACUGAUCGCAGUCGGCCUUGUGUCGGCGACGGAUCUUUCAAAUGUCUGCCCUAUCAAUUGUCGAUGGUAGGUGACCUGCCUACCAUGGUGAUAACGGGUAACGGGGAAUCAGGGUUCGAUUCCGGAGAGGGAGCCUGAGAAACGGCUACCACUUCUAAGGAAGGCAGCAGGCACGCAAAUUACCCAAUCCCGGCACGGGGAGGUAGUGACGAAAAAUACGGAAACGGGACUCAUUAGAGGCUCCGUUAUUCGAAUGAGUACAAUUUAAAUCCUUUAACGAGGAUCAACUGGAGGGCAAGUCUGGUGCCAGCAGCCGCGGUAACUCCAGCUCCAGAAGCGUAUAUUAAAGUUGUUGCAGUUAAAAAGCUCGUAGUUGGAUCUGGGUUCGCAUGGCUACAUGCUGUUGCUUAUAUUCUCAGCCUGGUUACGAUCGGGUUGGGUUUAUGGCUGGGCGUAGUGGUUGUGCAGCCUUUCUGCCCGUGUCUGUUUUUGCAGGUGCUGGGUUGAUCGGUUUUCGGUCUGCUAGCAUGCUUUCCAGGUGCCCUUUAAACGGGUGUCGGGGGGCGGACGGCAUGUUUUACUUUUGAACAAUUUUGAGUGCUCAAAGCAGGCCCUUUGUUGCUCUGAAAAGUCUUGCAUGGAAAUAAUGGAAUAAGGACUUCGGUUCUAUUUUUGUUGGUUUUCGGAUCCCAAAGUAAUGGUUUAAAAAGGGACCCAACGGGGGCUAUUUUGUAUUGGCCGUGUUAGAAGCUGUAAUAUCCUGGGAAUCGGCCCCCCUGAAUACUAAACUACUAGUGAAGCCAUUCGUCCCGAAUGAAGUGUUCUCUACAUUGGAAUUCUGUGGAAGACCCGCGAAGACGAGUGAU
rnacentral:rRNA from 1 species